rnacentral:tRNA from 1 species
GUCCCAGUAGCUCAGCAGGAUAGAGCAACGGCCUUCUAAGCCGUCGGUCGGGAGUUCGAAUCUCUCCUGGGACGCUAACA